AAUAAAGUGCCUGAAUAAAGGAUUAUUUUGAUAGAAUAAAAUAUGUAUAAAAUUUUAUACCUUUAUUA
rnacentral:tRNA from 1 species